UACGUAGGCAGCGAGCGUUGUUCGGAAUUACUGGGCGUAAAGAGUGUGUAGGCGGUGCUCUAAGUUCGGUGUGAAAUCUCCUGGCUCAACUGGGAGGGUGCGCCGGAAACUGGAGUGCUUGAGCGUGGGAGAGGAAAGCGGAAUUCCUGGUGUAGCGGUGAAAUGCGUAGAUAUCAGGAGGAACACCGGUGGUGUAAACGGCUUUCUGGACCAUAACUGACGCUGAGGCACGAAAGCGUGGGUAGCAAACAGG
rnacentral:rRNA from 1 species